GGAAAAUGAGUCACUUAAAAGUCGCAUAGAUGGAAUGGAGGUUGAACUUCAAGCAAUUAAGGAAAUGUUACAACAACAAUUCAAUGCUCCUCCACCACCGUCUCGAUCUGAAGAGCAGGAAAUACCAUCUUAGCUUUAUAGCAAAAGAUGUUGAGCAGAGGGGACUUGAAG